rnacentral:RNase_P_RNA from 1 species
UUGUGAAGUCGGAUGGCUGCUGCUUAAUUGCAGAGGAAAGUCCGGACUCCUUGAAGGAAAGUGCCGGGUAACGCCCGGCGGUGUCGAGAUCUGAAUGCUUUUCGUAAUUUUCGGAGACGGCGCCAGGGAAAGUGUAACAGAAAACAUACCGCCCUCUUGGGUAAGGUUGAAAAGGCGAGGUAAGAGCUCACCGCGUGUUUGGUAACAAACACGGCAGUACAAACCCCACUUGGAGCAAGACCAAAUAGGGAUAACGUGUCCUUCACACAAUGUUAUUCGGGUAGGUUGCUAGAUAUCUGCGGCAACGCAGAUACGAGAUGAAUAGCCAUCGAAAUCGAAAGAUUUUACAGAAUCCGGCUUAUUGACUUCACAAAAAC